GUAGUUUGAGGAAGUUAAUUAAUUUGUCUAAGAUUACUCAUUCUAGUCAUUGGUAGAACCAGGCUUGAAUUUAGACCUGACAAAGCUAUGUAAGAAACACUUCUUGAUGCAAAGUUUACUGACUGUUCUCCAAAUUGAUCCUUCUAAUUUUCAUAAUUGCAGUGCAGUGUGUUAGCCUGCAAAAAUUAUCUAAAAAAGUAGUAAGCCCACAUUGUUUGACUUUCGUAAAUUCUGGAAAUCCUCUAGCAGCUUCCUUGAUUCCCAUAGAUGAUCAGGGUGGUCACUUGGUACUAACUCCUCAGCUGCUAGGUGUUUAACUUACUGUUUCUUCUUACUGGAGCCUCUUCCUUCUCUGCGUAGCCCAAUCAGAUGCCCAGCACUUCAGACCUAAGAUGGCCAUGUACACAUUCUACUCCUGGUACUCCUCAUCUUAGCAGACAACUACCCAUUCAUCCUUGCUUCACCAAAGUCUAGGCUGGAAAAUCAUUCUCACAGAGCAGUACUGGAUCGGAUCAGCUAAAAGUGCCGAUAGUCGGCC
rnacentral:lncRNA from 1 species